GUCAAAAGUUGUAACUUUCACUUAAAUUAUUCAUUCAGCAGCAGCAGCUCCUGCUAUUCCAGCCACAUGCAGCCAAUUAGCAGACAAAUCAACUGAGCGAAGCAGAGUUCUUGAUCCAUAAAUUAUCUCUAUUGCAUGCGGGGCAGCAGCAGUAAAAGCGAUUAAGUCCUUGGGUAAUUAUAGGAGCCAAACAAGUUAUAAACAUUUCCGAGAAUCCCUCAAUCAUCGAUGGACGCGAGUUUUCUUUAAAUUUUCAUUACUUGAAAGUUUUGGGGCAUGCAUAACAAAUUCCAGCUAGGGUUUACAUGAUUAUGUUUGCUCGGAGGCAAGCAAACCAACAAACGCCGUACACUUCAGACAGGGGCUUUAUGUUUUAACUGAUUUUCGCAUUUGAAUGAUUUAUGCCUCCCGCCAGACUCAUUCGCAUUCAGAGACUCGUACUCAUACUCAUUUUGCCAUUUUCUUUACGGGCGCACCUGCCAGGCCUCUGGGACCUCUGGUCUGGUGCUCGUUUUUCAUAAUUUUGCAUGUGAUUUGAGUUUGUUUUUAAUAUUCGCUUAUUUUUGUGCUUUAUUUCCAGGCUCGGCUGGCUUACUCCCAAGGAAAUCGAUAAUCAAAUGCGUGUGAAAUUCGCCUCAACGACAUGCUGGGACAUAAAUUUAUCAACAGGUUAACAAGUAACUUUGCCCGCAACCAGAUGUCUUUGUCGAAUGUGCGAGGGAACGUGGAGGGAGCUCAGACUGGUAGUACGAGUAUAUGUAAAUGGGAGUGACACGGCCCCGUACGUAUUUUGAAUGUUCAUUCAUUUAUGGCUUGACUUUUCAUAAAACGAUGGAUGGAAUUUUAC
rnacentral:lncRNA from 1 species